rnacentral:rRNA from 1 species
GCCUAACGGCUGAACUGGCAACUUGGAGAAGUGGCAAGUCUUCCAGUAUGGGGAGCAAAACAGCUAUGGGUCAAGUCCGAUAUCUUUAGGAGAAGUCUUAUUGUGAGGGCGAGUUAUAUAACACCAUAGGACUGGCCGUCCCAUAUGAAAAGAUUAUAUUAGAAUUGAAUGAAGCUUUGUUUAUAUAUUGAUAAUGACAGUAUAUAUAUCGUGUCUUGACUAAUUGCGUGCCAGCAGUCGCGGUAAUACGUAAGAGACUAGUGUUAUUCAUCUUAAUUAGGUUUAAAGGGUACCCAGACGGUCAAUAUAGCUUAUAAAAUGUUAGUACUUGACUAGAGUUUUAUGUAAGAGGGCAGUACUUGAGGAGGAGAGAUGAAAUUUCGUGAUACCAAAGGGACUCUGUAAAGGCGAAGGCAGCCCUCUAUGUAAAAACUGACGUUGAAGGACGAAGGCACAGAGAACAAACAGGAUUAGAUACCCAAGUAGUCUUUGCAGUAAAUGAUGAAUGCCAUAGGUUAGAUUGAUCAAUUAUAGUCUAGGGUUAGUCUAGCAAACUAAUGCCCUAUGAUAUAAUUCAAAAUAUCUGGUCUAUAAAUGAAAGUGUAAGCAUUUCACCUCAAGAGUAAUGUGGCAACGCAGGAACUGAAAUCACUAGACCGUUUC